AAUGAGAUCUUCUCUGGAGCUCAACUUUGACUGGCAGUUCACGUAGCCAAUCGAGAAUCCAACAUUGACCCCCCCUUGGGAGGCACCGAGCUCCGUCGGCUCGUUUCCGGCGGUCGCGCGCUCUUUUCUCGGGACGGUGGAGGCAGUGCAGCGUCGCCCUUACUCUGAGCAAAGAACUGUGGGCAGAGAGGCAGUUGGGGUUAGAGAGAACUGGGAGGCCCACACUUGGCUGUGCUCAAAUCGAAGUCAAGGUAGGUGCA